rnacentral:rRNA from 1 species
UACGUAGGGUGCGAGCGUUAAUCGGAAUUACUGGGCGUAAAGCGUGCGCAGGCGGUUUGCUAAGACAGAUGUGAAAUCCCCGGGCUUAACCUGGGAACUGCGUUUGUAACUGGCAAGCUAGAGUGUGGCAGAGGGGGGUGGAAUUCCAAGUGUAGCAGUGAAAUGCGUAGAUAUUUGGAGGAACACCGAUGGCGAAGGCAGCCCCCUGGGCUAACACUGACGCUCAUGCACGAAAGCGUGGGGAGCAAACAGG